AGAGUUUGAUCAUGGCUCAGGACGAACGCUGGCGGCGUGCUUAACACAUGCAAGUCGAACGGAAAGGCCCCUUCGGGGGUACUCGAGUGGCGAACGGGUGAGUAACACGUGGGUGAUCUGCCCUGCACUUUGGGAUAAGCCUGGGAAACUGGGUCUAAUACCGAAUAGGACCGCAUGCUUCAUGGUGUGUGGUGGAAAGCUUUUGCGGUGUGGGAUGGGCCCGCGGCCUAUCAGCUUGUUGGUGGGGUAAUGGCCUACCAAGUCGACGACGGGUAGCCGGCCUGAGAGGGUGUCCGGCCACACUGGGACUGAGAUACGGCCCAGACUCCUACGGGAGGCAGCAGUGGGGAAUAUUGCACAAUGGGCGCAAGCCUGAUGCAGCGACGCCGCGUGGGGGAUGACGGCCUUCGGGUUGUAAACCUCUUUCAGUAUCGGCGAAGCUCCAGGAUUUUUCUUGGGGUGACGGUAGGUACAGAAGAAGCACCGGCCAACUACGUGCCAGCAGCCGCGGUAAUACGUAGGGUGCGAGCGUUGUCCGGAAUUACUGGGCGUAAAGAGCUCGUAGGUGGUUUGUCACGUUGUCUGUGAAAACUCACAGCUUAACUGUGGGCGUGCGGGCGAUACGGGCAGACUGGAGUACUGUAGGGGAGACUGGAAUUCCUGGUGUAGCGGUGGAAUGCGCAGAUAUCAGGAGGAACACCGGUGGCGAAGGCGGGUCUCCGGGCAGUAACUGACGCUGAGGAGCGAAAGCGUGGGGAGCGAACAGGAUUAGAUACCCUGGUAGUCCAA
rnacentral:rRNA from 1 species